UUUGUUUAUCGAAAUUUGAGGUGUGGAAUGAAUGGCGGGAAAACAAAACCACUGAAUCUCCAGACCUUAAUAACUGUCGUUUAAAAGUUAAAACCGCAUGAUCAUCAUUCUUCAUUCAUCACUCCGAAAAAGUUAGGUGGUCGUCUGGUUUUCACAAACAACUUCCAUUUAGGUAAUCAUGGUGGUGCAAGGGGCAAGUGAUAUAAAUCUCAAGGGGCCUAGAAGUAAGAAGAAAAAGCUGGAUGAGUAUAAUAAUUGGAGGCCAUGACCGGACCUUCCUGAGCCUAUGCUUGAUCUUAUUACAAAGUCACUAGGGCCUAUAGACUAUCUCAUGUUUGGGUGUGUUUGUAGAACAUGGAGGUCGUAUGUUGCGACAUAUAAAAAAGGUUUUUUGGCAUCCCAACCUCCACUUGUUCUCUUCUUAUCAACACAUGCUAGGAGAGCUUGUUACUUCUUUAGUAUCUUUGAUCAAAAGUUAUACAAGGCAAUACUGCCCAACCUUAUUGGCAAAUCAUAUUUGGGGAUCACUUGUGGAUAUUUGGUCCUGAAGGACAAGGAAGAAAGGACAGAUUCUCAAAUUUGGCUUCUGAAUCCUUUUAAAAGACAUGAACUCCGUUUCCCUAGUCCUCCUAAAACUUAUUGUCACUUCAUCCUUGCUGCUUUAGCUACGCCUUUGCCAGAGUUUGUACUCAUAGCUUUUUGUAGAUGGCAACCAUAUUUCCAGUUUCGUAGAUCCAAAGAUGUCCAUUGGACUGUAUAUGAUUAUAAUGACAAAUUUAACGGCAGUCCUAGACACAAUCCUUGGAUGAUUAUUGAUGGAGCUGUCUUCAAGGACAAGGUAUAUGUUUUAACUAGUCAUGCUGAAAUUGGGAUACUAAAUCUGAAUUCUCAUCCUUAUGUGACUCUGCUGAAAGUAAAAGGCAUUGCAGAUUUGAAUUGUUGACUGCAGUUACGGUUACUGGCUUCUGAUGAACAGCGCCUGAUGAUUCGUGGAAUAAUUGAAUUUGACUAUCAUUCAGUUUAUGAGCUAAAUUUUUCAAAGAUGCAAUGGGUUCAGUGGCAGAGUUUAGGAGAUCAAGCAUUGUUUUUGGGUCAUAGAACGGGCCCAGGAUUGUACAACAUAACCAGAUGGAAAGGUCACCGACAAUGUGCUAAUUGCAUAUACAAAGUUGGUAGUGCAACUAACAAAUACGGCGUACAAUUCUUGUAUAUAAGAUAUCCCAAAUCUUUUCCAAUCAUGCAAGCAAAACGUAUGCCAGAUUUUAACCUAGGAAAUUACCCGUUCUGGUAUUUUCCACAUCUGUCUUGCAGUGUGGAUUCUUUGGUUGAUGACUAGUUGGGAUUUCUUCUUGUUCAUCUUCCCUAACCUCUAUUGAAGCAGUCAUUUGGACAAGACAUUGAAGUGUUUUAUACAUUUGUUUUUUAUUCCCUUAUUGAUGACUUUAGAACUCUUUUUGAUGGCUAAUCAUUGAAGAGAAUUACUUGCUAUGAGGUUUGCUUGAGUUUUCUGCUGCCCAUUUUUGCAGCUCUCAAAUGGUCCACUAGUGCAAACUGCACAACUAUUUUUGUGAUAAGAAAAUCCAACAAUGUUUUGUCUUCCA